rnacentral:rRNA from 1 species
GAUGAACGCUGGCGGCGUGCCUAAUACAUGCAAGUCGAGCGAAGCGGGGACGGGUGAGUAACACGUGGAUAACCUCCUAUACGACUGGGAUAACUUCGGGAAACCGGAGCUAAACCGGAAACUUAUAGAUGGAUCCGGGCUGGAUUAGCUAGUUGGUAAGGUAACGGCUUACCAAGGCAACGAUGCAUAGCCGACCUGAGAGGAUGAUCGGCCACACGGGAACUGAGACACGGUCCAGACUCCGACGGGAGGCAGCAGUGGGGAAUCUUGCGCAAUGGGCGAAAGCCUGACGGAGCAACGCCGCGUGUGUGAAGAAGGCCUUCGGAUCGUAAAACUCUGUUAUUAGGGAAGCGGUACCUAAUCAGAAAGCCACGGCUAACUACGUGCCAGCAGCCGCGGUAAUAC